rnacentral:rRNA from 1 species
GACGAACGCUGGCGGCGUGCUUAACACAUGCAAGUCGAACGGAAAGGCCCUGCUUUUGUGGGGUGCUCGAGUGGCGAACGGGUGAGUAACACGUGAGUAACCUGCCCUUGACUUUGGGAUAACUUCAGGAAACUGGGGCUAAUACCGGAUAGGAGCUCCUGCUGCAUGUUGGGGGUUGGAAAGUUUCGGCGGUUGGGGAUGGACUCGCGGCUUAUCAGCUUGUUGGUGGGGUAGUGGCUUACCAAGGCUUUGACGGGUAGCCGGCCUGAGAGGGUGACCGGCCACAUUGGGACUGAGAUACGGACCAGACUCCUACGGGAGGCAGCAGUGGGGAGUAUUGCACAAUGGGCGGAAGCCUGAUGCAGCAACGCCGCGUGCGGGAUGACGGCCUUCGGGUUGUAAACCGCUUUCGCCUGUGACGAAGCGUGAGUGACGGUAAUGGGUAAAGAAGCACCGGCUAACUACGUG